rnacentral:rRNA from 1 species
UUAGGAAUUUUGCGCAAUGGGCGAAAGCCUGACGCAGCAACGCCGCGUGAGUGAUGAAGGCCUUCGGGUUGUAAAGCUCUUUUAGUUGGGAAAAACACAAUGAUGGUACCAACAGAAAAAGCACCGGCUAACUCUGUGCCAGCAGCCGCGGUAAUACAGAGGGUGCAAGCGUUAUUCGGAAUUAUUGGGCAUAAAGCGCAUGUAGGUGGCUUGGUUAGUUUGAUGUGAAAGCCCCGGACUCAAUUCGGGAAGUGCAUUGAAUACUGCCAGGCUGGAGUAUGGGAGAGGUGAGCGGAAUUCCAGGUGUAGAGGUGAAAUUCGUAGAUAUCUGGAGGAACAACAGAGGCGAAGGCGGCUCACUGGACCAUUACUGACACUGAGAUGCGAAAGCGUGGGGAGCAAACAGGAUUAGAUACCCACGUAGUCCCUGAGCGGGCUGGCAAGGCGCAU